CCUACGGGAGGCAGCAGUGAGGAAUAUUGGUCAAUGGACGCAAGUCUGAAGCAGUCAUGCCGCGUGCAGGAAGAAGGCUCUAGGAGUUGAAAAAUGUUUUUGUACGAGGGAAAACGCAGAGAAGCGUAUCUGUCUGAUACUGUCGUACGAAUAAUGAAAGGCUCACUCCGGGCCAGCCGCCGAGGUAAUACGGAGGAUUCAAGCGUUAUCCGGAUUUAUUGGGUUUAAAGGGUGCGUAGGCGGACGGAUAAGUUAGAGGUGAAAUCCCGAGGCUGAACUUAGGAAUUUCCACUGAUACUGUUCGGCUAGAGAGUAGUUGCGGUAAGCGGAAUGUAUGGUGUAGCGGUGAAAUGCUUAGAGAU
rnacentral:rRNA from 1 species